UAGGGAAUCUUCCGCAAUGGGCGAAAGCCUGACGGAGCAACGCCGCGUGAGUGAUGAAGGUCUUCGGAUCGUAAAACUCUGUUAUUAGGGAAGAACAAAUGUGUAAGUAACUAUGCACGUCUUGACGGUACCUAAUCAGAAAGCCACGGCUAACUACGUGCCAGCAGCCGCGGUAAUACGUAGGUGGCAAGCGUAAUCCGGAAUUAUUGGGCGUAAAGCGCGCGUAGGCGGUUUUUUAAAUCUGAUGUGAAAGCCCGCGGCUCAACCGUGAAAGGUCAUUGGAAACUGGAAAACUUGAGUGCAGAAGAGGAUAGUGGAAUUCCAUGUGUAUCUUUGAAAUGCGCAGAGAUAUGGUAGAACACCAGUGACAAAGGCGUCUUUCUGGUCUGUAACUGACGCUAAUGUGCGAAAGCGUGGGGAUCAAACAGG
rnacentral:rRNA from 1 species